UACGGAGGGUGCGAGCGUUAAUCGGAAUCACUGGGCGUAAAGGGCGCGUAGGCGGUUAGGUAAGUCGGAUGUGGAAGCCCUGGGCUCAACCUGGGAAUGGCAUUCGAGACUGUCUAUCUAGAGUCUGGUAGAGGGAAGUGGAAUUUCCGGUGUAGCGGUGAAAUGUGUAAAUAUCGGAAGGAACACCAGUGGCGAAGGCGACUUCCUGGACCAAGACUGACGCUGAGGCGCGAAAGCGUGGGGAUCAAACAGGAUUAGAUACCCGUGUAGU
rnacentral:rRNA from 1 species